rnacentral:rRNA from 1 species
GCUAUACUGCAGUCGAGCGGACAGAAGGGAGCUUGCUCCCGGAUGUUAGCGGCGGACGGGUGAGUAACACGUGGGUAACCUGCCUGUAAGACUGGGAUAACUCCGGGAAACCGGAGCUAAUACCGGAUAGUUCCUUGAACCGCAUGGUUCAAGGAUGAAAGACGGUUUCGGCUGUCACUUACAGAUGGACCCGCGGCGCAUUAGCUAGUUGGUGAGGUAACGGCUCACCAAGGCGACGAUGCGUAGCCGACCUGAGAGGGUGAUCGGCCACACUGGGACUGAGACACGGCCCAGACUCCUACGGGAGGCAGCAGUAGGGAAUCUUCCGCAAUGGACGAAAGUCUGACGGAGCAACGCCGCGUGAGUGAUGAAGGUUUUCGGAUCGUAAAGCUCUGUUGUUAGGGAAGAACAAGUGCAAGAGUAACUGCUUGCACCUUGACGGUACCUAACCAGAAAGCCACGGCUAACUACGUGCCAGCAGCCGCGGUAAUACGUAGGUGGCAAGCGUUGUCCGGAAUUAUUGGGCGUAAAGGGCUCGCAGGCGGUUUCUUAAGUCUGAUGUGAAAGCCCCCGGCUCAACCGGGGAGGGUCAUUGGAAACUGGGAAACUUGAGUGCAGAAGAGGAGAGUGGAAUUCCACGUGUAGCGGUGAAAUGCGUAGAGAUGUGGAGGAACACCAGUGGCGAAGGCGACUCUCUGGUCUGUAACUGACGCUGAGGAGCGAAAGCGUGGGGAGCGAACAGGAUUAGAUACCCUGGUAGUCCACGCCGUAAACGAUGAGUGCUAAGUGUUAGGGGGUUUCCGCCCCUUAGUGCUGCAGCUAACGCAUUAAGCACUCCGCCUGGGGAGUACGGUCGCAAGACUGAAACUCAAAGGAAUUGACGGGGGCCCGCACAAGCGGUGGAGCAUGUGGUUUAAUUCGAAGCAACGCGAAGAACCUUACCAGGUCUUGACAUCCUCUGACAACCCUAGAGAUAGGGCUUUCCCUUCGGGGACAGAGUGACAGGUGGUGCAUGGUUGUCGUCAGCUCGUGUCGUGAGAUGUUGGGUUAAGUCCCGCAACGAGCGCAACCCUUGAUCUUAGUUGCCAGCAUUCAGUUGGGCACUCUAAGGUGACUGCCGGUGACAAACCGGAGGAAGGUGGGGAUGACGUCAAAUCAUCAUGCCCCUU